AUGUCUAAGCACAAGCCGAUAAAUUGGCAAAGCCGCGAAUUGGCUUCAUUACAACAGCCACAUUUUCACUUGGUUAUAAAAUCCUACAAGGAUAACUUGCGGAAAUACUGGAGCUAAUACUUGCACAAAAGCUCCGACCCGUGAGGGGACGAGCGCAUUUAUUAGAACAAAACCAAUCGGACUUCGGUUCGAACGUUUUGUGAAUCUGAAUAACUAAGCUGAUCGCACGGUCUUGUACCGGCGACACAUCUUUCAAGUGUCUGCCUUUAUCAACUGUUGAUGGUAGUUUAUGUGACUACCAUGGUUGUAACGGGUAACGGAGAAUAAGGGUUCGACUCCGGAGAGGGAGCCUGAGAAACGGCUACCACAUCCAAGGAAGGCAGCAGGCGCGUAAAUUACCCACUCUCGGUACGAGGAGGUAGUGACGAAAAAUAACGAGACGGUUCUCAAUGAGGCCCGUUAUCGGAAUGAGUACAAUCCAAACCCUUUAACAAGGAUAUAUCAGAGGGCAAGUCUGGUGCCAGCAGCCGCGGUAAUUCCAGAUCUGAAGGUGUAUACCACCGUUGUUGCGGUUAAAACGCUCGUAGUUGGAUCUACGUUCGUGGACUCGGUGCUCCCAAGUGGUGUCAACUGAGAUCCCGGGCUAAUCUGCCGGUUUUCGUGCGGUGCUCUUUACCGGGUGUCGCGGGUGGCUAGCGAGUUUACUUUGAAAAAAUUAGAGUGCUCAAAACAGGCGUUUCGCCUGAAUACUGGUGCAUGGAAUAAUAGAACAGGACCUCGGUCCGUUUUGUUGGUUUCGAACUUGAGGUAAUGAUUAAGAGGGACAGACGGGGGCAUUCGUAUCGCUGCGUGAGAGGUGAAAUUCUUGGACCGUAGCGAGACGCCCUACUGCGAAAGCAUUUGCCAAGAAUGUUUUCAUUAAUCAAGAACGAAAGUCAGAGGUUCGAAGACGAUCAGAUACCGUCGUAGUUCUGACCAUAAACGAUGCCAGCUAGGGAUUCGCCGGAGUUGUUUCAAUGACUCGGCGAGCACCUUGGGAAACCAAAGCUUUUGGGUUCCGGGGGAAGUAUGGUUGCAAAGCUGAAACUUAAAGGAAUUGACGGAAGGGCACCACCAGGAGUGGAGCCUGCGGCUUAAUUUGACGCAACACGGGGAAACUCACCCGGCCCGGACACUGUAAGGAUUGACAGAUUGAUAGCUCUUUCUUGAUUCGGUGGUUGGUGGUGCAUGGCCGUUCUUAGUUGGUGGAGCGAUUUGUCUGGUUUAUUCCGAUAACGAACGAGACUCCGGCCUACUAAAUAGUGGCGAGAUACGUCCCGUCUCGCAAACUUCUUAGAGGGAUAAUUGGUGUUCAGCCAAAUGAAAUGGAGCAAUAACAGGUCUGUGAUGCCCUUAGAUGUCCGGGGCUGCACGCGCGCUACACUGGAGGAAUCAGCGUGCCAACACCAUUGCUGAAAGGCAUUGGUAAACCCUUGAAAAUCCUCCGUGAUCGGGAUUGGGAAUUGCAAUUAUUUCCCUUGAACGAGGAAUUCCCAGUAAGUGUGGGUCAUCAGCUCGCGUUGAUUACGUCCCUGCCCUUUGUACACACCGCCCGUCGCUGCCCGGGACUGAGCCGUUUCGAGAAAAGCGGGGACUGUGGCUGGCCGGCGUUUCGGCGUCGGCUUUUCGUGGAAACCGCCUUGAUCGCAGUGGCUUGAACCGGGC
rnacentral:rRNA from 1 species